rnacentral:misc_RNA from 1 species
UACGGAGGGUCCGAGCGUUAUCCGGAAUCAUUGGGUUUAAAGGGUCCGUAGGCGGGCAGCUCAGUCAGUGGUGAAAGUUUGCGGCUUAACCGUAAAAUUGCCAUUGAUACUGGUUGUCUUGAAUUAAUGUGAAGUGGUUAGAAUGAGUAGUGUAGCGGUGAAAUGCAUAGAUAUUACUCAGAAUACCGAUUGCGAAGGCAGAUCACUAACAUUAUAUUGACGCUGAGGGACGAAAGCGUGGGGAGCGAACAGG